rnacentral:rRNA from 1 species
UACGAAGGGGGCUAGCGUUGCUCGGAAUCACUGGGCGUAAAGCGCACGUAGGCGGAUCUUUAAGUCAGGGGUGAAAUCCUGGAGCUCAACUCCAGAACUGCCUUUGAUACUGGGGAUCUCGAGUCCGGAAGAGGUGAGUGGAACUCCGAGUGUAGAGGUGAAAUUCGUAGAUAUCAGGAGGAACACCGGUGGCGGAAGGCGGGUCUCUGGGCCGAUACUGACGCUGGAGGAGCGGAAAGCCUAGGGGAGCAAACGGG